UGAUGAGUCAUCGCCUAUCCAAUUUGGACCUCUGCCAUUCUCCGUAGAAACUUUGCGUAGCCAUUUUCCAAUACAAUUGCGCGUUGACCAGAGUGCGUCCAUGUGAUCCUCCCCGGCGGAUCAAGAUGAACAGAGAGAAUGAUGCUGACUUAUUGAGCCCUGACCAAUCGAGGGCUUCAGGACUCGAGCCCCGACGCGCCCUCGGGAAGCUGCUGCGGGAGGCGGACAUCGAUGGGCAGUGCCGGCAGGUGUUGAGGGCGCCGCGGCGGGUGCACCGCUCGACCGUGUCCAAGGCGGACCGGUACUGCUGCAGCUCCUGCAACUGUGCGUCAAGCGGCUACUUCAGCUUCUUGAGGAGGAACUGCACCGAUGGCUAUAUCUUCCCACAACCUGACGGCCCGGCUUCCACCACUAGUUUCUACGGUAGUCUUCCUCCACCAAGAGUCGAAUUCAGCUUCCUACAAGAUUAUAAUGAUGGUUUGUAUCAAUUAGUUGUUAAAUUGUAUUUUGGAACCUAAUACAUAUUUUAAAUAUAAAUUCAUAUUUAAAGUUUCUUUAA